CUACUUUAUGAAGAUACUUCUCUUAAUCUAUUACAAUAUGUAAAUAUGGCGUAAUCUAACACAAUAAACAACUUGCACCAUUUAAUAACUUAACAUCACUUAUGUUAAUCAUCCGAAGAAGGGGUUGGAAUCUAAAAUUAUAGACUAUUUGUUUUCUCUAAACAAAUGUGCGUAAACACUACCCAACUGCGAAACCAUCACCCAAUGGCUCUAACACGCAAACAAUGUAUCCUCAAAGUACCCUUAACUUCAUCUACCAAAGGUUCUAAAUCAACCUUAAUUUACACCGGUGCUCUACUUAUUUUACGUAAAAUACAUAUUUUCUAGAAUAAUUGAAUGUAUCUUCAAAAAAACUAACUCAUAAUAUGAUCAAUACAAAAACCCAAAAUACCUAAAAAAAA
rnacentral:lncRNA from 1 species